UACGUAGGGUGCAAGCGUUGUCCGGAAUUAUUGGGCGUAAAGAGCUCGUAGGCGGUUCGUCGCGUCGGCUGUGAAAUCCCGAGGCUCAACCUCGGGUCUGCAGUCGAUACGGGCGGACUGGAGUACUGCGGGGGAGACUGGAAUUCCUGGUGUAGCGGUGAAAUGCGCAGAUAUCAGGAGGAACACCGGUGGCGAAGGCGGGUCUCUGGGCAGUUACUGACGCUGAGGAGCGAAAGCGUGGGGAGCGAACAGG
rnacentral:rRNA from 1 species